GUGCCAGCCGCCGCGGUAAACCGGGGGGGGCAGGUGUUAUUCAUCNGACAGGGCGUAAAGGGCAUGUAGGCCGUUUAUUUUGCUUUUAAUAAAUUCUUUGGCUUAACCAAAGGUAUAUUAUUUUUUUACAUAUAAACUUGAGUUUACUUGAGUAAAACGGUAUGGCUUAGUUUAGAGAUGAAAUUCGUUGAAAUUAAACAGACCACUUGUCUGCGAAGGCAGUUUUAUAAUUGUUAACUGACGCUAAGGUGCAAAAGCGUAGGUAGCAAAUGAGAUUAGAUACCUCAGUAGUCUACGCCCUGACCGAUGAGUGUUGUAUACUGACAUUUUUUUUUAGUUGUAGGUAUCUUAGUAAACACGUAAACACUCCGCCUAGGAAUUACAAUCGCAAGGUUUAAACUUAAAGGAGUUGACGGAGGGUUAUCACAGCGGUGGAGCAUGUGGUUUAAUUUGAUAUACCGCGUAAAACCUUACCAGUUUUAGAACUCGCAUAUUUUUUUUAAGUAGAUUUAAUUGUUAUUAAAAUCUUUUUUGAAUUUUAAUAUUUAUAGUAUGCGCAACAGGUGUUGCAUGGCCGUCGUCAGCUCGUGUUUUGAGGCGUUCGAUUAACUUCUUUGAACGGGCGUAAUCCCUAUUUUAAUUUUUUUGUUUUAAAAAAAAAAGUAAUUAAAAAACUGCUCGUGAGAUAUGAGAUGAAGGUUGGGAGGAUGUCUGGUCGUCAUGGCCUAAAUAGACUGGGCUACAUACGUGCUACAAUGGUUGUUACAAUUAGAUGCAAAAAUGUGAAUUUUAGCAAAACUAAAAAAACUAUCUUAGUUCGAAUUAUUUUCUGCAAUACGAAAAUAUGAAGUAGGAAUCGCUAGUAAUCGUAUAUCAGCAUGAUACGGUGAAUACUUACCAAGCCCUUGUACACACCGCCCGUCACGCGGUGGAAAUUGGAAUUAGCAGACAUUCGGUUUUGGAAUUGUUUUUUUUUAUAAAUCUUUACUUAGUUAAUUUUGAUUUUUUGAAUUUAUAGUGGAUUUACUUUUAUUUAAACGCUUGCUCCUNUAAACCUAAGGUUGAUAACUGCUGCGAAGUCGUAACAAGGUAACC
rnacentral:rRNA from 1 species